GCAAUUGGCAUGCUGACUGCAGGAAUGUCCGGUAGAGCUGUUGCCAGAGUAAUGGGUGUUCAUUUCUCCACCCUAAGCCGCCUCCAGCGUCGUUUCAGAGAUUUUGGAAGUUCGUCCAACAGACUACGUGUAACCAUGCCAGCCCAGGACCGCCACAUCCGACUUCUUCACCUGUGGGAUCGUCUGAGGCUAGCCACACGGACUGCUGUUUACAGAACCAUAGAAUUUCUGCACAAACUGUCAGAAAUCGCCUCAGGGAAACUCACCUGCGUGCUCGACGUCCUCACUGCAUUUUGAUUUGUCUGCAGUUCCGCGUCAAUCGACGCAAGUGGGCAAGAGCUCACCUUCGAUGGCCACUUCUUCCAUGUUCUCCUAGUUCUUUCAUGGCCUGCAUACUCACCAGACAUGUCACCCAUUGAGCAUGUUUGGCAUGCUCUGGACCGGCACUGUGAUGCCGCGCUAGCGGGACUCACUUGUUUAACAGAAUGAGUGUGACCAGGUGGUACUGGAUGGUGGUGUACAGAGACAGCGUCACUCCAGAAGUCAGAUGCCAAAGUACUGGUUUAUUUACAGGGCUUCCAAAAAUCACCAAUUAAAACAAAAAAAAAAAAACAUCUUACGCAAGGUACUGUACAUUCCCGGGAAAGCAAUAAAAUGGCCUUAGUAGCAGGUAGAAUUAGUAAUUAGUAAUUAGCAGAUAGCUUUAGCAUGUAGCAUGAUAGCAUUACCCAGCCUCACAGCAAGCUGUUCGUCCAAAGAAAAAACCUCACUGAAAGAAACAGGCCCCAUUAUAUAUAUUUCCCAUAAUUGAGCUAAACUAUUCCCCAGGGUACUCCAAUUUACAUAGCCACAAUGGACAAAAGUAAUACAUGCAAUAACAGUUACAAAUUACACCAGUUCAAGUCAUUUCAACAAUACCAUGGUUAUUUCUUUGAAGUACAUUCUUGGAUAUACAUAAUCAAUCAUAUUACAUCAAAAUACGUCAUGUCUCAAAAUAUCAACACCCCCCCCUUUAAAUUAUGUCUUUCACUCAACCGGCAAAUAGGCACGUGAACGACGCACACGCGCCCUAGAAACCCAGCCGACAGCUGAAUGCGGAAGUGGAGGUGUUUGUGAUUGAACUUUCCCACCAAUAUCCAACAACUUCGUACAACUAUUGAAGAGCAGUGGGACAAUAUUUCACAGGCUACAAAAAACAAUUUGAUCAAUGCAAUGCGAAGGAGAUGUGUUGCGUUGCAUGAGGCAAAUGGUGGUCACAUAAGAUACUGAUCGGUAUUCUGUUCAUUUCACGGUAUCUUCUUUUUUGGGGAAUCUACGACUAACAAAUGCAUGUCUGUAUCCCCAAUCUCAUGAAAUCCAUGGAUAAAUGCUUAAUGAAUCUAUUUCAGCUGACUGAUUUAUGUUUAUUACCUUUGAACUCAAUAAAAUCUUUGAAAU